GAGUUUGAUCUUGGCUCAGAUUGAACGCUGGCGGCAUGCCUUACACAUGCAAGUCGAACGGCAGCAUGAUCUAGCUUGCUAGAUUGAUGGCGAGUGGCGAACGGGUGAGUAAUACAUCGGAACGUGCCCUGUAGUGGGGGAUAACUAGUCGAAAGAUUAGCUAAUACCGCAUACGACCUGAGGGUGAAAGUGGGGGACCGCAAGGCCUCAUGCCUAUAGGAGCGGCCGAUGUCUGAUUAGCUAGUUGGUGGGUAAAGGCCCACCAAGGCGACGAUCAGUAGCUGGUCUGAGAGGACGAUCAGCCACACUGGGACCUGAGACACGGCCCAGACUCCUACGGGAGGCAGCAGUGGGGAAUUUUGGACAAUGGGCGAAAGGCCUGAUCCAGCAAUGCCGCGUGUGUGAAGAAGGCCU
rnacentral:rRNA from 1 species